GAGAGAGAGAGAGAGAGAGAGAGAGAGAGAGGCCUGCUGUGACUGGAAGACAGGAGGGAAUCUGGUACAUCUGGGAGUGGAAACUUGAUGCCCCUGGGCCAAGAUUUGUCAGGGCCACCGCCUAAGACGCCUAAAGGAGCCUGCUUGUGUGCUGUGGCCAUGUUCUUCUGUGACUGGAUCUUCUCUUCUGCCUGGAGCCUCAAUUUCGGUCCGGCUGGAUUUGGGGAACAACACUGCCUGCCGCAAGGACAUCAAAUGAGACUUCAAAGAAGCAUAGAAUGAAUAGACCAAUCAAACAAAGACCGGGGGCAGCAGUACGCCAGCAAGACAGCAUCUUCUCCCCAGCCUAGAAGUCCUGAGAAACCGAGGAUCUCCCCCUAAAACAUUCACAUACAAGAUAUGUGCAAUC